rnacentral:lncRNA from 1 species
GGGGGGGGCUAUGGUUUUUUUUUCUGUGCAAACUUUUUUUUUCGCCUUUGGCGAAGAACAAUCUGUUUUUUUAGCGACAAACCGAAAACAAUUUUUUUCUUUCAAUUUUAGCAUUACAUAUAGUGGCAGCUGAGGGUGAAACAAACAUUUUUUUUUCUCAGGGUCCAAAACAAAUUAUUUUUUUCACCAAAACCUGGAAACAAACUUUUU